rnacentral:rRNA from 1 species
UUUAAUUGAAGAGUUUGAUCAUGGCUCAGAUUGAACGCUGGCGGCAGGCCUAACACAUGCAAGUCGAGCGGUAACAGAGAUAGCUUGCUAUCUGCUGACGAGCGGCGGACGGGUGAGUAAUGCUUG